AAGUUUCCAAGGGUGAUAGAUAUGUUCAUUAUUUUGAUUGUGAUGAUGGUUUUACAAGCAUAUUCAUGUGCCAAUACUUAUUACACUGUACAUACAAAAUACUGUCAUCCCUCAGUACCCAAGGGGGAUUGAUUUCAGGACCCUCAAGAGUUUGAAUUGUAGGGUCAUGACUUAUCUGCUCUGUGGCCCUUGGCAAGUGCUAUAGGUUGGGUCCUCCCCAGGUUCAAGCGAUUCUCCUGCCUCAACUGCCCAAGUAGCUGGGACUAUAGGCGCCUGCCACUGUGCCUGGCUAAUUUUUGUAUUUUUAGUAGAGAUGGGGUUUCACCAUAUUGGCCAGGCUGUCUUGAACUCCUGACCUUGUGAUCCGCCCACUUCAGCCUCCCAAAGUGCUGGGAUUACAGGCAUGAGCCACCGCACCCAGCCUGCUGUUGUUACUUUAUUAUUACUCUACUGAAUAAUAUAGUCAGCUUUGCCCAGUCUAUGCUAAAGAAUUACCAUGCAGCAUAUAUACUGAGAAGUCUGUGAAGACUUAAAAAAAAGAGACUUUAUUUUUUGAAGCAGUUUUAAGUUCACAGCAAAAUUGAGCCCUUGCUCCCAUACAUGCACAGCCUCCUUCGUUCCACUCAGGGACAAUCUUUGAGGACUAGUCAUUAGGCUGAGCUCACAGGGGGGACCUGGGGGAGGAGCUGCCAGGAUGGUGUAGGCAUAUGCAUACACAGAAUCUCACCCUUUUUUGGGAGAGUUGCACAGAAGGAUCUGCUGAUAUUGUCACGACUCAAAUAUUCCUCUGGAACACAACUAAAUACCAUGAUUUGACAUUUGGUGUUACAGAUAAUUGGUGCAAGUAUUUGGGAUGUGGCUAACUUGGUGUGGUCAACUCCAAAUAAUUUGAAAGGAAGAAAAAGUGAUAGCUGGGCAAUAAACCAGCGUUUGGCCAAUAGCUGUUCCUGAAGUGCAUGAAUAGAAGAGGUCACGGGAUCUAAGGAAAGCCUGCUCACGUUAGUCCACCAGCCUGUCCUCUGGCAAAUAACUCACACCCUUCCCACAUGCAAAAUACACUCAUCUCCCACCAAAGACCCCUAAGUCUUACUCUUUUAUGGCAUCGGGACAGGUCAGGAUGGAAUAAAGCCAGGUUUCCCUCACUUGCUCUGCCAUGCAGGGAUGCCUGUUCCUAUUCCAUUGAUUGGAAAGAGAGAAUUUCUCUUGAAAUGUUUCCUGUCCCUGCCACUUAAGCAGUUCUGGGUUUGGCUGCCCUGAAUCUAUGUCAAGAGACAUGGAAGGGGAAGAAGAGGAAACUUACCA
rnacentral:lncRNA from 10 species